AUUGAACGCUGGCGGCAGGCCUAACACAUGCAAGUCGAGCGGAUGAAGGGAGCUUUCUCCUGGAUUCAGCGGCGGACGGGUGAGUAAUGCCUAGGAAUCUGCCUGGUAGUGGGGGAUAACGUCCGGAAACGGGCGCUAAUACCGCAUACGUCCUGAUGGAGAAAGUGGGGGAUCUUCGGACCUCACGCUAUCUGAUGAGCCUAGGUCGGAUUAGCUAGUUGGUGGGGUAAAGGCCUACCAAGGCGACGAUCCGUAACUGGUCUGAGAGGAUGAUCAGUCACACUGGAACUGAGACACGGUCCAGACUCCUACGGGAGGCAGCAGUGGGGAAUAUUGGACAAUGGGCGAAAGCCUGAUCCAGCCAUGCCGCGUGUGUGAAGAAGGUCUUCGGAUUGUAAAGCACUUUAAGUUGGGAGGAAGGGCAGUAAGUUAAUACCUUGCUGUUUUGACGUUACCAACAGAAUAAGCACCGGCUAACUUCGUG
rnacentral:rRNA from 1 species